rnacentral:rRNA from 1 species
UACAGAGGGGGCAAGCGUUAUUCGGAAUUAUUGGGCGUAAAGGGUGCGUAGGCGGGUCUUUUAAGUCAGGGGUGAAAUCCUGGAGCUCAACUCCAGAACUGCCUUUGAUACUGAAGAUCUUGAGUUCGGGAGAGGUGAGUGGAACUGCGAGUGUAGAGGUGAAAUUCGUAGAUAUUCGCAAGAACAUCAGUGGCGAAGGCGGCCUGCUGGGCUGUUGCUGACGCUGAGGCGCGACAGCGUGGGGAGCAAACAGG